rnacentral:rRNA from 1 species
UACGUAGGGGGCUAGCGUUGUCCGGAAUCAUUGGGCGUAAAGAGCGUGUAGGCGGUCCGGUAAGUCCGCUGUGAAAGUCGGGGGCUCAACCCUCGAAUGCCGGUGGAUACUGUCGGGCUAGAGUACGGAAGAGGCGAGUGGAAUUCCUGGUGUAGCGGUGAAAUGCGCAGAUAUCAGGAGGAACACCUAUUGCGAAGGCAGCUCGCUGGGACGUAACUGACGCUGAGACGCGAAAGCGUGGGGGGCAAACAGG